rnacentral:lncRNA from 7 species
AUGUUUUCUUCUUGUGAGGCUCUUCUCUUGAAGUUACGUGUCUCCUGUUAGCUUUAGUAGCCUGGUGACUUCCUUAUGCUCCCCAUCUGAAUGGCUCAGUGUUGGAGGAGGGCAGGUGCUGCAGCCCUGGCUACUGCUGCGUGCUUCAGCAAGGCGUGGUGCUGUGCCUGAGUCCUCUACCCGGUGUGUUGCAGAGGUGUGCUGCUAAGAGAAGGCUGCAGGAGGAAGUGAGUAUACACCGAGAAUCUCAUUUCUGCACAUAUCUGUAUAUUGAAGGCUUAGCUAUGUUGCAAUGGCAAAGUAAUACUGCUGCUAUGAGCGUGCAACUGUUGAAACUCAGCAACUGCUCUGGCCAAAUAUCCCUCGUGUAAAGCCCCAGCUCCUGUGCCAUGUACCAGCCUGGCUUUGUACCGCGGGGCUACUGUCCAACCAUGGUCCCAUCUCCUCCCUACACCUACCUACCACUGCGCGCUGGGAGAGCGGAAGACCCAAACAGCUCCAUGAUGUUCCCUCCCAUCUACAUGCACAACUUCUACAGCCGCCCCAUGACCUUUGUGGUAGACAGAAGCAGCUAUCCUGACUAUGUGGGGAGUCAGGUGGAGUACCACCACUUGUACAGUGCCUCCAACCCCUACUUCCAUCCGUACUACACCUGGCAUUUACCCGCUGUGGUCCCUGUCCCGCUGUACAAUCCAUAUGCAACCUACAGUCCCUACGCUGCCUACCAGAGGUCAGACCAGUAUCGAGACACGUGGCCUGAGGGCUUCACCAUGAGAGGGGAGCUUCAGUGGGGGAAGCUUGGGAAGGUGUUUGGACCAAGGAAAGACCUCCCAGAAUUCGUUAAGGAUGAUCUCCGGAGGGUUUAUGGCACCUACCCACGGACCAAUGUCUCCAUCACCUACCGGAGAGGGGAGUUCUUAGUGAAAGCAGACCCCAAGGUAGGAGAGCAGGAGUACACAGUGGAGAAAAAUGUCAUCCAGAGGGCUCUGACUCCCAGUGCCAGUGAAGCAGAUGACAGCAGUGAGGAUCGGAACAGGAAGAAGAAAAAGAAACUGAGACGUUGAUGUGGUUGGUCACACAAUAAACGGAUGCUCCACGGUCCCAGGGAGCCAGCUGGCAGCUGGGAAGCAGCUCAAGCAACGGGUGCCACCACUCCCCUGGGCUUUUAACUCCUCUGUGUCCUCCACAAGCCUAUGGCAGCUUCACCUGUUUGAUGCACAACGCCUGUCCUGUGAAGAAACCACCUGGCACUUGUCUGUCUGUCUGUCAGAUCAGCAAUUCGGUCCUGGUUUUGGAAUGGAUUCUUACUUACCACUGGUUUGGUUGGGUGGCCACAGGCUGGGAGGGGAUUCCCGGAGAGCAGCCCUUGGUUAGAUGGCCCUCUUCCUACACUGUCCAGGGGAAGGUCCUGGGAGCUGGAUCCCUUCCUGGCACUCACUUGAGGAAAACAAAACUGGAUUUCCUUUAAGUUGAAGGCAGUGCAAGUCCCACAGGGGAGAGGAGUUUUCUGGCACUGUAAAGAGUAAUUAUCUGCAUAUCAUUGCUGCUGUUUUAUGGCUGUACCGUUGUGCUUAUGGUGUGAUGCCUGCACACAGCACUUUGCUGCACUCUGGCAGAAGAUCUUGGUGUCCUGAUCCUCUUACACUUGGUAACCUGGUGCUUGUUCCUCAUGGCCAUGUGUCCUGGCUGAAGUGGCUGCCUGAGGCUCUCCCCUGGGUCUGACCCAGCUCUGGCUGGGGGUGCUGCCUUGCUGCUGAUAGCAGAGCCCUGUGUCCUGUGGCACCUCUGUAGCUGCUCUCCUGGAUCUGAGAAUGACUUGCUUGUGAACUUGUGCCUUUUAAAUGAUUAUAAAUAAACAAU